UGGAAGCCCGCGAAAUGCUUUCCUCGUAGACGCAUGAGAUGCGCCGUGAAGUUUUAGGUGUUUGGAAGUGCAUCUAGUGUUUGGUCUUUGGCCGACUGUACCCCCGCAAAGCAAAGCCAGCCGUGUGGACAGUGAAGAAGCAGAUAUUGCACACUGAAAACAUCACCUCAUCACAGAUGCAUCGUGCACUGUGAGUUGACAGUCCCUUCUUGUGUGCUUCGACAAUCACUAUUCUUGGGACUCAACAUACAACAGGACACUAUCCUGUGGUCUCCAGAGACGAGUACAACCUGCGCUAUGGGAAACCGGUACACAUCUUUCUGGAAACUGGCCCUGAGGUGAUGUCAAUUUUUCUUUUUCUUUUUCGCGUAACACCAUCGAGCUUUCUACCAGACCUCAGGCUAUACCAUCUUGAAUCUCAGAGACAAGUGUAUAUUGUUGUGUGCUACCCUCAAAGUUAAUGGACAGUCAUCCAUAUUCAGCUUAUGAAGUAAUAAACUCUGUUGUUGUCUCCCUCAGAAUAUCGCAUGCCUGUGCAUGCUACAGUUGUUGCUAUAUGUGUGUGGUUUUCAGAGCUUGCUCAAUGCUGCUUCUUUUUCUCUUUCUUUCUUGUUUACUAGACGUUUCUGAAGAUCAGGAGUAGAGAUCAGAAAACAAAAAGCUUUGUGUCAGUAACAUGUCUUGAGGAGCUAAUCAGAGUUGCUGUGGGUCAUGGAAUUUGUCAGGAGGGCAACAUACAGUUAUUUCUUUCUAGGUGUAUUUAAUGGAUGAGUUAUCACUUCGCUCUAUGGUUGCUGGUGCUGAGAAAUGCCUCGAUGACAUUUUCAUUGUUAAAAAUCUACUAUGGAAACAAGAUCAGUCAACAUGUGUGAGUGCACCUUCACCAAUCCCACAAAUGCCUCUGCUCUCACGAAUUUAUUACCCUUGGGGGAGCCAAUGUCUUGCUUCCCUCUCAACGACAGGAAGUGGCACACAUGGCAGCGUCAUGUCCCUGCAUAUCCAUUGAAGGCACCUGGUUGGUAUCAUUGAGAACGAAGGGAGCCAGCAGGCAUAAAAAAAUCAAGAGGGCUACAUACAUAAAUGCGUGAGGCAAUGAGGGUCGCAGAUGAAUAUAGCAAGAAGUGGGAACAUCUCAUGUGAUACAUGGCGGUCAAAUGGCG